rnacentral:rRNA from 1 species
CAGCAGCCACGGGAAUACAGAGGGUGCAAGCGUUAAUCGGAAUUACUGGGCGUAAAGCGCGCGUAGGUGGUUUGUUAAGUUGGAUGUGAAAGCCCCGGGCUCAACCUGGGAACUGCAUCCAAAACUGGCAAGCUAGAGUACGGUAGAGGGUGGUGGAAUUUCCUGUGUAGCGGUGAAAUGCGUAGAUAUAGGAAGGAACACCAGUGGAGAAGGCGACCACCUGGACUGAUACUGACACUGAGGUGCGAAAGCGUGGGGAGCAAACAGGAUUAGAUACCCCCGUAGUCCCUGUCUCUUAUAC